GGCUGGUUUACUGGGGUUUCUGUGAGGCUGGUUUACAAGGUUUCUGUAAGACUGGUUUACUGGGGUUUCUGUUAGACUGGUUUACUGGGGUUUCUGUGAGACUGGUUUACUGGGGUUUCUGUGAAACUGUCCAGUUUACACAGAUUUCUGUGAGACUACCUUGUUUACACAGGUUUCUGUGAGACUGGUUUACUGGGGUUUGUGUGAGAGUGACUGUUUUACUGAAGUGUGAGAUUGGUUUACUGAGGUUUAUGUUGGACUAGUUUAUACAGGUUUCUAUGUUAAAACUGUCUUGUUCACUCAGGGUUCUAUGAAACUGUCUGGUUUACACAGGUUUCUAUUAAACUGUCCAGUUUACACAGGUUUAAAUGAGACUACCUUGUUUACACAGGUUUCUGUGAGAAUGGUUUACACAGGUUUCUGUCAGACUAGUUUACACAGGUUUCAAUGAUAAAACUGUCUGGUUCACUCAGGGUUCUAUGAAACUGUCCAGUUUACACAGGUUUAAAUGAGACUACCUUGUUUACACAGGUUUCUGUGAGAAUGGUUUACACAGGUUUCUGUCAGACUAGUUUAGACAGGUUUCUAUGAUAAAACUGUCUGGUUCACUCAGGGUUCUGUGAAACUGUCUGGUUUACACAAGUUCCUGUCAGACUGGUAUACUUUCUGAGUCCCAUUCAAGGUUCUGUUUGGAGAGUUUUCAUAUUUUAUCAAACUCUGUUCUUCUGUAGAAUUUCCCAGUGUGUGACAUUUCCCAUUACAUGUCGUUACAGUAAUGCUUGUACAUAUAUACCUAUCUAAAGGUUUAAAUAUACAAAGAUAUAUAAAGUCAAUUUCUCAUUUUCAUAGACAGGUAACUACGAUCUAAACGACCACUGACAAAGCCCUCAUUGUAAGGUUAACAUAAUUAUCAACAAUAAUAUCGGUUUCAAAAAAUCCAAUGUAAAUUGUAAACUCUGAGCACCGGUGGGAAAACUGAUAGCAAGCAACCGUUCAAAACAAAAUUGUCAACAACUCAUGUGUAACGUGGGUAUAAUGCCUUCACUGGUUAAAUGAUUGUGUACACAGAGAUGUACGGACUAGGUACUUAGUGUAGACAGAUCUAUACUCAGAGUGGAAGCCAUAAAGAUGUAAUAGUGUUAUUUACAAUCCAUAUCUCUCAAAGCUUGUAGGCACAGCAUGAUGUAUAGAACAAUCACUACUCAUUUAUCCUGGAUACCAAUGUACAGGGAUUUUCUUGUCUCCUAAUAUCUGCUUUUACAAAGGAUUCAAAGUCUUGUAUGGAAUAUUGUUCUGAUUCAAGCACCUGUCAACAAACUGACCGGAAAUGAAAAACGCAAACUAAAUCCCUACAAAAGGAAGCGGACGUUACGUAUCCGGAUGCAGCGGUAAUGAAACC